rnacentral:misc_RNA from 1 species
GAUGAAGAACGUAGCGAAAUGCGAUAAUUAAUGUGAAUUGCAGAAUUCAGUGAAUCAUCGAAUCUUUGAACGCACAUUGCGCCCGCCAGUAUUCUGGCGGGCAUGCCUGUUCGAGCGUCAUUACAACCCUCAGGCCCCCGGGCCUGGCGUUGGGGAUCGGCGGAAGCCCCCUGCGGGCACAACGCCGUCCCCCAAAUACAGUGGCGGUCCCGCCGCAGCUUCCAUUGCGUAGUAGCUAACACCUCGCAACUGGAGAGCGGCGCGGCCACGCCGUAAAACACCCAACUUCUGAAUGUUGACCUCGAAUCAGGUAGGAAUACCCGCUGAACUUAAGCAUAUCAAUAAGCGGAGGA